UAGGCAAACCUUUCUGGAAACACCAAGAUAUUGUCCAGAGCUCUGUUUCCAUGGUGACUCUCAUCUAGCCAAGUUGGCCACGAGAAUGCACAACCAAGGAGCACCAACUUCCAGCUGAACUUGGGUAUCUGUCUCUCCUGGCCACUCAGAGCAUCCCUCCCCUCAGGAGACCCACUGCAUCUCCUCAGUCCCUGGUGGCCACUAGUCUGCUUUGCCUCUGCCAGAGGACAGUGGCUCCAGAGUCCACGCACGGGGGAGUUAGUGUACUUUCUUCACUUCCCUUUGGGUUCCUGGCUUACCUUGCUGAACAUGGUGCCUACCUAGCAGGCUUCUCCACAGCCAUGGAUAGGGUCUCCUUCCCUUUGGAAGCUGACAGUAUUAACACUGUGUGUACAUCGUAGGGGUUCUUCGUGACAUGGUCGAUGGCUAUGCAGUUUGAUUUUGGUUGGGAUCAGCAGGAAUUACUCUAGGACAGACAUGGGGUGUGUGCGGAGCUGUUCCAUUUGCUCUGUACCCAGAAUCGGCUUUACGGAGCGUAUGGCAGCUUCAUUUAAAGUAUUUCGAGGGAAUCUGCUUUUUCCAUUAUAUCUGCGCUGAUUUAAUUCCCACUCAACACACGUGGGUCCCCUUUCCUCACAUGCUUGCCAGCGUUUUGGUUUUGUCUUUUCUGUAGCAGGCAUUCUAACUUGGGCGACAUGAUACCGCACUGUCAUUUUGAUACACACCUUGUCCGGUGCUCAGGAUGGAGCCUAAGGGCUGACACAUGCUCCGUGGCAGCUCAAUUACUGAGCCACGCCACCAGCGUGGGCUUACAUUCUGCUGACUGACACUGAACACUUUUCGAGGUGCCACUAGCUGUUCAUGCUUUUCUUCUUUUGAGAUUUGUCUGUCGGGAUCAUUUUACCCGUGUAUUAGGCCCAUGCUGAAUGAAUAGAUUAUAAGGUGCUUUCUCCUACCCGCACUGUCCUUUCCUUUGCUAUUCCGUAUGCUAUAUAAGGUGCUUUCUCCUACCCGCACCGUCAUUUCCUUUGCUAUUCCGUAUGCUAUGUGGAGGCUUGUCUCCUUUGUCUGCUGUGGUGGUUUGAGCAAGAAUGGGCCUCAUAGGUUAAUAUAUUUCAAUGCCUAGUUAUCAGAGAGUGGUACUACUUCAAAGGAUUGGGAGCUGUGGCCUUGUUGGAGGAAGUGUGUCACUGGGAGUGGGCUUUGAAGUUUCAGAAGCCCAAGCCAGGCCCAGUGGCUCUCUCUCUUCUUGAUGCCUCUGGAUCCUGAUAUAGAACUCCCAACUUCUUCAGCACUGUGUCUGCCUGUGUGCCCCCAUGCUCCUCACAAUGAAGAGUUGCCAUGGUUAUGAUGUCUCUUAACUGGCAAUGACAUUUGCUUUUGCUGUCUGUGCCUUUGAAACAUUUCCUCUACUUGUACCACUGUCCUGGACCAUUAUCCAACCCUCCUGUGGUUUUGUUUUUGAGACUGAGACCCAUGUAGCCGAGGCUGUCCUAGAACUUGAGAGUAGUCAAGGCUAGCCUUAAAGUCCAGAACUUCCUGCCACCAUUUCCCAAGUGCUCAGAGAAGAGAUGUAAGACACUACACUUGGCUCUCUAGCUCUCUGGUGUUCUCUCUCUCUCUCUCUCUCUCUCUCUCUCUCUCUCUCUCUCUCUCUCUCAUAUUUUCUUUCUGUAGCUUCAUAAUUUUAAGUUGUGCUAUUAAGUCUAUAGGCCAUUUUGAAUUGAUUUUUGUGAAAAUUUUAUACAUGUAUAUAAUGUCUUCUUUUCAUUCACCCUUGUUGCCUUCUCUUCUCCUCUCA
rnacentral:lncRNA from 1 species